rnacentral:rRNA from 1 species
AUAUCAAUAAGCGGAGGAAAAGAAACCAACAGGGAUUGCCCCAGUAACGGCGAGUGAAGCGGCAACAGCUCAAAUUUGAAAUCUGGUCCCUAGGGCCCGAGUUGUAAUUUGUAGAGGAUGCUUUUGGUGAGGUGCCGCCCGAGUUCCCUGGAACGGGACGCCACAGAGGGUGAGAGCCCCGUCUGGCUGGCCGCCGAGCCUCUGUAAAGCUCCUUCGACGAGUCGAGUAGUUUGGGAAUGCUGCUCAAAAUGGGAGGUAUAUGUCUUCUAAAGCUAAAUAUUGGCCAGAGACCGAUAGCGCACAAGUAGAGUGAUCGAAAGAUGAAAAGCACCUUGAAAAGAGGGUUAAAUAGUACGUGAAAUUGUUGAAAGGGAAGCGCUUGUGACCAGACUUGGGCGCGGCGGAUCAUCCGGGGUUCUCUCCGGUGCACUUCGCCGCGUCUAGGCCAGCAUCAGUUCGUCGCGGGGGAAAAAGGCUUCGGGAACGUGGCUCCUCCGGGAGUGUUAUAGCCCGUUGCAUAAUACCCUGCGGUGGACUGAGGACCGCGCAUCUGCAAGGAUGCUGGCGUAAUGGUCACCAGCGAC